rnacentral:tRNA from 1 species
UGUGGGAAAGAGUGCUGGUGCCUUGGCAUCGGCAGGCUUUCGCUCGGCCGGCUCUGCUGCUGCCAUCGUGCGCCGCGAUGCCCCCGCAA